UCUUCCUUUCAGAUACCAGGGCUUCCCAUUGUGCUGGCUUUUAUUGGAUUUCAGGUGCCAUUCAGUCAACCCCCUUAGCUGCUUGAAUUCUUGAAAUGCUAGGAUCAUAUUUCACCUGAUCUGGCACUGAACCAUGCUCGCUAUCUCACCCCAAAAUUAAUUAAACCAUAAAUUUUCAGAAUAAACAUGCAGCAUCCACUAUCACUGAAACAGUCUGAGCUUUGUUGAGCAAACUGCUGCAAGAACAAAGCUUCCUCUUUCUCUUUCUACCCACUCUGCCUUCUCUUCUCUUGAUGUGUAUCAGCAAAUACAGUAAAUACAGUACCCUCCCUCCCUGUUACGGAGAGAUAAUUCUUGUUCUGCUGUUGUCACCAUUUCAUAGACCCAGAAGAAACUGCAACAGCUCACAGGGUGAGAUCUUACAGGAGAGCAUUAACUCUACUAAGGUGAAGAGGAGUUAUUCUCCAAAAUUAAUACAAGCAUUUUCUUUUUUGUGGACAGCCUGGAAAAUGCUACUUUAAUUUGACCUUUACCUCAGUUUCCCAUCUGCAUAGUAGCCUGGUCAUCCCACGUAGAAAGCACUACCUCUGCCGACAAUUUAGGACCAAGAACUCCACCAACAUGAUUCAGAGGAGACCUUUACCCUUAUCCUCGUCUUCAAAUCCUGUCAAAGCCCACAAAGAAAACUGGAUGGCUGCUUGUAUGGGAGACCUACAGAGCACUGCCUGGUUGCUAUAGGCAGUGUAACCAAAGGUGGCAUUUUUAUUUCUUGAAUCAACUGUCAGCCAACACCCUUGCCUGGUAUUAAGGUUGCUGUGGGUUGAUAGAUAUAAAUCUGAGCUCCUGACCAGCUCUGGUCUUUAGAAAUUCUCUUGUACAUUUGAUUGCCGCUCUGGUGCAAAUGCCAGUGUCCUGGCUGUAUUCCAGCUCUGCUGAUUUACACUUUUCUGACUUAGAUUCUCUCCUGUUUCAGACUGUGCUCUUCUUCAGCUCUUAAGCUUCUGUCUAGUGUGGAUGAACAUUGUUUCUCCCUAGCCAAAAUAAAGUGAUUCUUACAUUUA